rnacentral:rRNA from 1 species
UGGGGAAUCUUGGACAAUGGGCGCAAGCCUGCUCCAGCCAUGCCGCGUGAGUGAUGAAGGCCCUAGGGUUGUAAAGCUCUUUCACCGGUGAAGAUAAUGACGGUAACCGGAGAAGAAGCCCCGGCUAACUUCGUGCCAGCAGCCGCGGUAAUACGAAGGGGGCUAGCGUUGUUCGGAUUUACUGGGCGUAAAGCGCACGUAGGCGGACUAUUAAGUCAGGGGUGAAAUCCCGGGGCUCAACCCCGGAACUGCCUUUGAUACUGGUAGUCUUGAGUUCGAGAGAGGUGAGUGGAAUUCCGAGUGUAGAGGUGAAAUUCGUAGAUAUUCGGAGGAACACCAGUGGCGAAGGCGGCUCGCUGGCUCGAUACUGACGCUGAGGUGCGAAAGCGUGGGGAGCAAACAGG